rnacentral:rRNA from 1 species
CGGAUUUGGCAUGGGCGAAAGCCUGAUCAGCAAUGCCGCGUGUGUGAAGAAGGCCUUCGGGUUGUAAAGCACUUUUGUCCGGAAAGAAAUGGCUCUGGUUAAUACCUGGGGUCGAUGACGGUACCGGAAGAAUAAGGACCGGCUAACUACGUGCCAGCAGCCGCGGUAAUACGUAGGGUCCAAGCGUUAAUCGGAAUUACUGGGCGUAAAGCGUGCGCAGGCGGUUGUGCAAGACCGAUGUGAAAUCCCCGAGCUUAACUUGGGAAUUGCAUUGGUGACUGCACGGCUAGAGUGUGUCAGAGGGGGGUAGAAUUCCACGUGUAGCAGUGAAAUGCGUAGAGAUGUGGAGGAAUACCGAUGGCGAAGGCAGCCCCCUGGGAUAACACUGACGCUCAUGCACGAAAGCGUGG